AGACAGCAGCCGCCACGGUAAUACAGAGGGUGCGAGCGUUAAUCGGAUUUACUGGGCGUAAAGCGUGCGUAGGCGGCUUCUUAAGUCGGAUGUGAAAUCCCUGAGCUUAACUUAGGAAUUGCAUUCGAUACUGGGAAGCUAGAGUAUGGGAGAGGAUGGUAGAAUUCCAGGUGUAGCGGUGAAAUGCGUAGAGAUCUGGAGGAAUACCGAUGGCGAAGGCAGCCAUCUGGCCUAAUACUGACGCUGAGGUACGAAAGCAUGGGGAGCAAACAGGAUUAGAUACCCGGGUAGUCCCUGUCUCUUAUAC
rnacentral:rRNA from 1 species